rnacentral:rRNA from 1 species
AUUGAACGCUGGCGGCAGGCUUAACACAUGCAAGUCGAGCGGGGUGAUGGUGCUUGCACUAUCACUUAGCGGCGGACGGGUGAGUAAUGCUUAGGAAUCUGCCUAUUAGUGGGGGACAACAUCUCGAAAGGGAUGCUAAUACCGCAUACGUCCUACGGGAGAAAGCAGGGGAUCACUUGUGACCUUGCGCUAAUAGAUGAGCCUAAGUCGGAUUAGCUAGUUGGUGGGGUAAAGGCCUACCAAGGCGACGAUCUGUAGCGGGUCUGAGAGGAUGGACGCACACGAGGGGACUGAGACACGGCCCAGAGACAUCCGGGGGGAAGCAGGGGGGAAUCUUCGGCAAUGGACGAAAGUCUGACGGGGCAACGCCGCGUGAGUGAAGAAGGUUUUCGGAUCGUAAAGCUCUGUUGUUUGAGACGAAUGUGCCUGUUUCGAAUAGGGAUAGGUAAUGACGGUAUUAAACGAGAAAGCCACGGCUAACUACGUGCCAGCAGCCGCCGUAA